rnacentral:rRNA from 1 species
UACGUAGGGGGCGAGCGUUGUCCGGAAUCAUUGGGCGUAAAGCGCGCGUAGGCGGCCCUGUAAGUCCGCUGUGAAAGUCAAAGGCUCAACCUUUGAAAGCCGGUGGAUACUGCAGGGCUAGAGUCCGGAAGAGGCGAGUGGAAUUCCUGGUGUAGCGGUGGAAUGCGCAGAUAUCAGGAGGAACACCAAUAGCGAAGGCAGCUCGCUGGGACGGUACUGACGCUAAGGCGCGAAAGCGUGGGGAGCGAACAGG